GCCGCCAUUUCACGAAGGCAGGGGGAAGCAGGGUGCCACUUCUGAAGGCCUCUGGGCUUUUAUAUAUUAUUUUUUUCCUGCCGUUCAUUCCGGUACUAAUGAUCAACAGGAGGACUGGAAGGCCCCCCAACCAGUGGGCCUAAGCUACCUGCCAGUAGGAUGAUGUUCCGAGUUACCAUCCUGAAAACCCCUUCAGAGCAGCCUGUGGAUCCCCAGGCCUGUGGAGCUCAGUCUGGAGAGCAGUAGCUGGAAGACCAGUGACUGCUGAAAGAAAGCUCACAGAGGAGGCUCAAGCAGCGCCAAAGGAGGAGAGAAACAGGGCAACUGGAGGGGAAGGUGCUCCACGUGCAGACCUGUUCUAAGUUAACAACCUUCCCAGUGUGUCCUCCAGAUAUUUUUUUGGUAUUUGCUCUCCGUGCAGCAAACCAACAGACAAAACACAGUCAGGACUGGAACAGGACUGAAUGUGCUUCAGGUGCAACUCAGCCGGGCACGCUCAGAAAAAAAAAGAACACGAGGCUACAAAAGUGUAUCUAUCUCUAUAUAUAUUUUUUUCCCACAAGGCCCCUGAUUUAAUUAGUGGAGUCACCAGAGACUUUGAAAGAAGCCUUCUACAGAACCCUUUUCCAGACUCUGAGGGAUGGAGGAUGUCCCUGAGGACUGCUGGCUGCACGGAUCAAUCUGCUUUAGGGACCAUCUGCUCCUGAAUCAGCUGGUGGUUGCAUCCAAUGACACCCAAAAAAGUUUGUCUGAGCAUAUUUGCUUUUGCAAGCCUGCUGUGUUGGCAAGGCAUGGAGGUUGAGUGGGCUGGAGGGGUGGCAGCAGUGAAGAGGAGACACCAAGCAGUCAGGUUUGUGGCUGCUCCUGUGCUCCCCUGCCUCAUGGAGCAGCACCAGCAUAACUUCCAAGAUUGAACUCCCCAGGCCUUUGCCACAUGGCCAUUCCUGAACACAAGCUGGGGCUCAGUAUCAUCCUUCGGUCACAGAUAAGGAACUGCUGCCUCCUCUUGCAAGUCUUCAGUAAUUUUAUAAGGAAAAUCUUACCAGCUGGUCAAAAGAGGUGAUAAUGCUGCGAUAUUCAGCGUUGGUGGGGCCUUGCCUGUGCGCAGUGCUGAGCUGCACGACUGAAAAAGGAUGUGAAGGGCCUUGAACGCUCCAGAGAAGGGCAAGAGGCUGGAAGGCAUGUCCUCCAGGGAGUGGCUGAGGACCCUGGGUUUGUCUAGUUUGGUGUAAAGGGGGCUGGGGGGUGACCUCAUUGCUCUCUGCAGCACUGGAGGAGGUUCAGGCUGAACAUUAAGAAGGGUUUCUUUACCGAGAGUGUGGUCAAAGACAAGAGAAGAUGAAAAGAUUUAUUAUUGAGAACAACAAACAACGUACUAUUAUUACUUACUCCUACACUGUGUCUUUCUACCUCUAUGAUGCUCACUUGCUCCCUACGAUCUCUGCUAUGUCUAU